ensembl:snoRNA SNORA75 Small nucleolar RNA SNORA75
ACCUUCUCAUGAGCUCCUCUUAAUCUUACCCAUGAUUCUGUAUGGAUUCGCACGAGAAGCAGAGCUAAUGCUCAGUUAGAACAGGCCUGCCAUAUUUGCAUAUUGGCAUUGCCUAUGUCUGCUGUGCAACAAGU